CCGUCGACAGGAAAGUAAUCGAGAAAUUGCUCAAAAUUACAUCCUGCAAAGUGACAGCAGUGGAUAGUGGGAGUAGAGCUCUGCAAUUCUUAGGAUUGGACAAGGAAGAGAGUUCUGUUGGGUUUGAUGGUUUGAAGGUGGAUAUGAUAAUCACAGAUUAUUGCAUGCCUGGAAUGACUGGCUAUGAAUUGCU